rnacentral:rRNA from 1 species
GCGGCUGAUCAGGCUGUUGGCGGGGUAAUGGCCCACCAAACCUUAGACCAGUAGGGGCGAUGAGAGUUGUUGCCUCCAGUCGGGUACUGAGAUACUGACCCGGGUCCUACGGGACGCAGCAGGCGCGAAAACUCUGCAAUGCACGCAAGUGUGACAGGGGAACUCCAAGUGUCUUAAAACUUUUGUUUUAUUUCUUUUCCCAACUGUAAAUAGGUUGGGGAAUAAGGGCUGGGUAAGACGGGUGCCAGCCGCCGCGGUAAUACCCGCAGCCCGAGUUGCCUGACUAUUACUGGGUCUAAAGCAUUCGUAGCCGGCCUUCUAAGUCCUUUGUGAAAUCUGGCAACCUAAUUGUCAGGCGUGCAGAGGAAACUGGGAGGCUAGGGAGUGGGAGGGGCUAGGGGAACUCUAGGGGUAAGGGUGAAAUCUAAUAAUCCUUAGGGGACCACCAGUGGCGUAGGCGCCUAGCUAAAACACAUCCGACGGUGAGGGAUGAAAGCCAGGGGAGCAAACGGGAUUAGAUACCCCGGUAGUCCUGGCUGUAAAUCAUGUGAAUUAGGUGUUGCGCGUUCUUUUUGAGCAUGCAGUGCCGAAGGGAAGCCGUUAAAUUCACCACCUGGGAAGUACGGCCGCAAGGUUGAAACUUAAAGGAAUUGACGGGGGAGCACAACAAGGGGUGGAGCUUACGGUUUAAUUGGAUUCAACUCCGGAAAUCUCACCAGGGAAGACAACAAUAUGAAAGCCAGUCUGAAGGGCUUGCUAGAUUCGUUGAGAGGUGGUGCAUGGCCGUCGUCAGUUCGUGCCUUAAGGUGUUCUGUUAAGUCAGACAACGAACAAGACCCGUGCCAUUAGUUGCAACGUACCAGUCCGCUGGUGCGGCACUCUAAUGGGACCGCUGUCGCUAAGACAGAGGAAGGCGCGGUCAACGGUAGGUCAGUAUGCCCCGAAUUUCCUGGGCUACACGCGAGCUACAAUGGUCGGAACAAUGAGUUGCGACCCCGAAAGGGGGAGCCAAUCUCCAAAUCCGGCCCCAGUUCAGAUUGAGGGUUGAAACUCACCCUCAUGAAGCCGGAAUCCCUAGUAAUCGGGUGUCACUAGCGCCCGGUGUAAAUAAC